rnacentral:rRNA from 1 species
CCUACGGGUGGCAGCAGUGAGGAAUAUUGGUCAAUGGCCGAGAGGCUGAACCAGCCAAGUCGCGUGAGGGAUGACGGCCCUAUGGGUUGUAAACCUCUUUUGUCGGGGAGUAAAGCGCACUAUGUAUAGUGCUUUGCGUGUACCUGAUGAAAAAGCAUCGGCUAACUCCGUGCCAGCAGCCGCGGUAAUACGGAGGAUGCGAGCGUUUUCCGGAUUUAUUGGGUUUAAAGGGUGCGUAGGCGGAGGUGAAAGUCAGUGGUCAAAUUGUGGGGCUCAACCCCAUAAUGCCGUUGAAUAUGGAUCCCUUGAGUGCAGGAGAGGUAUGCGGAAUGCGUGGUGUAGCGGUGAAAUGCAUAGAUAUCACGCAGAACUCCGAUUGCGAAGGCAGCAUGCUGGCGCGCAACUGACGCUGAUGCACGAAAGCGUGGGUAUCGAACAGGAUUAGAUACCCUGGUAGUC